UUGUAGGGAACUGAAAGGGACCGACCUUCGGGAGCCUAUACAGGUGUUGCAUGGCUGUCGUCAGCUCGUGUCGUGAGAUGUUCGGUUAAGUCCGCUAACGAGCGCAACCCUCGUCGUAUGUUAUAUGUGUCAUACGAGACUGCCGGUAAAAAGCCGGAGGAAGGUGAGGAUGAUGUCAAGUCAGCAUGACCUUUAUAUCCAGGGCUACACACACGCUACAAUGGUCUGUACAAUGGGUAGCCAAGCCGCGAGGCGGAGCCAAUCCUGAAAGCAGGCCUCAGUUCAGAUUGCAGUCUGCAACUCGACUGCAUGAAGCCGGAGUUGCUAGUAACCGCAGGUCAGCAAUACUGCGGUGAAUACGUUCCCGGGUCUU
rnacentral:rRNA from 1 species